CCUACGGGUGGCAGCAGUGAGGAAUAUUGGUCAAUGGCCGGAAGGCUGAACCAGCCAAGCCGCGUGAAGGACGAAGGUGCCAAGCAUUGUAAACUUCUUUUGUCAAGGGACAAAAUCAGGCUCGAGAGCCUGACCGAGGGUACGUGAAGAAAAAGCAUCGGCUAACUCCGUGCCAGCAGCCGCGGUAAGACGGAGGAUGCGAGCGGUAUCCGGAUUUCUUGGGUUGAAAGGGUGCGUAGGCGGACUGUUAAGUCAGCGGUAAACGCCCGGGGCUCACCCCCGGCGAGCCGUUGAAACUGGCUGUCUUGAGCUGUCGAGAGUUAUGCGGAAUGCGCAGUGUAGCGGU
rnacentral:rRNA from 1 species